rnacentral:rRNA from 1 species
UACGAAGGGGGCUAGCGCUGCUCGGAAUCACUGGGCGUAAAGCGCACGUAGGCGGCUUUCUAAGUCAGGGGUGAAAUCCUGGAGCUCAACUCCAGAACUGCCUUUGAUACUGGAGAGCUAGAGUCCGGAAGAGGUGAGUGGAACUGCGAGUGUAGAGGUGAAAUUCGUAGAUAUUCGCAAGAACACCAGUGGCGAAGGCGGCUCACUGGUCCGGUACUGACGCUGAGGUGCGAAAGCGUGGGGAGCAAACAGG